rnacentral:tRNA from 1 species
AAAAAAUCCGGAGAGGCCGGUUACUGCUUAAAACUUAAGCCUUUACUCACAGAGGUUCAAAUCCUCUCUCUAAUA